CACGUAGGGGACGAGCGUUGUCCGGAUUCAUUGGGCGUAAAGCGCGCGUAGGCGGCUCGGAAAGUCGGUCGUGAAAUGCCGGGGCUCAACCCCGGGACUGCGUCCGAUACUUCCGGGCUGGAGGUAGGUAGGGGAGAUCGGAAUUCCUGGUGUAGCGGUGAAAUGCGCAGAUAUCAGGAGGAACACCGGUGGCGAAGGCGACUACCUGGCCUGUUCUUGACGCUGAGGCGCGAAAGCUAGGGGAGCAAACGGG
rnacentral:rRNA from 1 species